GAUGAAGAACGUAGCGAAAUGCGAUAAGUAGUGUGAUUUGCAGAAUUCAGUGAAUCAUCGAAUCUUUGAACGCACAUUGCGCCCCUUGGUAUUCCAUGGGGCAUGCCUGUUCGAGCGUCAUUUGUACCUUCAAGCUCUGCUUGGUGUUGGGUGAUUGUCUAUCUUUUUAGACUCGCCUUAAAGUCAUUGGCAGCCGGCAUAUUGGCCUGGGAGCGCAGCACAAGUCGCGCUUCUUGUCAUGAAUGUUGGCGUCCAGUAAGUCUACAUAUUUUGCUCUUGACCUCGGAUCAGGUAGGGAUACCCGCUGAACUUAAGCAUAUCAAUAAGCGGAGGA
rnacentral:misc_RNA from 1 species